GAUGAACGCUAGCGGCAGGCUUAAUACAUGCAAGUCGAGCGAGAACGCUUCCUUCGGGAAGUUAUUAAAGCGGCGAACGGGUGCGUAACGCGUACACAACCUACCUCUUAGAGAGGGAUAGCCCCGGGAAACUGGGAAUAAUACCUCAUAGUAUUGCACUUUCGCAUGUUUGUGCAAUUAAAGCUCCGGCGCUAAGAGAUGGGUGUGCGUCCCAUUAGGUAGUUGGUGAGGUAAAGGCUCACCAAGCCGACGAUGGGUAGCGGGUCUGAGAGGAUGAUCCGCCACACGGGCACUGAGACACGGGCCCGACUCCUACGGGAGGCAGCAGUAAGGAAUAUUGGUCAAUGGAGGAAACUCUGAACCAGCCAUGCCGCGUGCAGGAUUGAAGGUCCUAUGGAUUGUAAACUGCUUUUCUACAGGAAUAAAAUAUCCGAUUUAUCGGAAGCUGAAGGUACUGUAGGAAUAAGCACCGGCUAACUCCG
rnacentral:rRNA from 1 species